GCUGUCUGCAUGCUGUUUAGAGCAGAAGCACUCUGCAUGAGUAACUGUUCCUGCACAGUCUCCUGGGUGGAACCAGGGAUGAGAGUGAACUCAUUUCACUCCAGUCUGCAACUCCAAGUUGCACUGCAAGCAGGACGAUGCCACAGUGUUCUCACCAUGCGUCGAAUAGGUUGCAGGCUGAAGUGACGGCAGGCUGACUGACUCAUGAAGCAUUCCUUGUCAGAUGGUUGGCCUCAGGCUGAGGUGGCUGUAUGCAUGCUCUGGAGAGCAGGAG